rnacentral:rRNA from 1 species
GGUAGGGAUACCCGCUGAACUUAAGCAUAUCAAUAAGCGGAGGAAAAGAAACCAACAGGGAUUGCCUCAGUAACGGCGAGUGAAGCGGCAACAGCUCAAAUUUGAAAUCUGGCCGCAAUGACGGUCCGAGUUGUAAUUUGUAGAGGAUGCUUCGGGCGCGGUACCGGCCUAAGUUCCUUGGAACAGGGCGUCAUAGAGGGUGAGAAUCCCGUAUGCGGCCGGCCUCCAAGCCCACACGAAGCUCCUUCGACGAGUCGAGUUGUUUGGGAAUGCAGCUCAAAAUGGGUGGUAAAUUUCAUCUAAAGCUAAAUACCUGCCAGAGACCGAUAGCGCACAAGUAGAGUGAUCGAAAGAUGAAAAGCACUUUGGAAAGAGAGUUAAAAAGUACGUGAAAUUGUUGAAAGGGAAGCGCUUGCGACCAGACCUGCCCGCGGACGCUCAGCGGGGGUUCUCCCCCGUGCACUCGCCCGCGAUCAGGCCAGCAUCGGUUCUGGCGGUCGGAAAAAGGCCCCGGGAAUGUAGCUCCCCUCGGGGAAUAUUAUAGCCCGGAGCGACAUACGGCCAGCCGGGACCGAGGACCGCGCCUUCGGGCAAGGAUGCUGGCGUAAUGGUCGUAAGCGGCCCGUCUUGAAACACGGACCAAGGAGUCUAACAUCUAUGCGAGUGUUUGGGUGUCAAACCCAUGCGCGCAAUGAAAGUGAACGGAGGUGGGAGCCCGGUAGGGUGCACCAUCGACCGAUCCUGAAGUUUACGGAUGGAUUUGAGUAUGAGCAUAGCUGUUGGGACCCGAAAGAUGGUGAACUAUGCCUGAAUAGGGUGAAGCCAGAGGAAACUCUGGUGGAGGCUCGCAGCGGUUCUGACGUGCAAAUCGAUCGUCAAAUUUGGGUAUAGGGGCGAAAGACUAAUCGAACCAUCCGGGGAUCUCCCCAGCUUUCCGUGUGAGAGCUGCUAGGUGGUUAAUAAGCACCGCACCUGGGGUGCGGUCCUCAGCCCUCCGGGGUGACAAUGCUAAUAGCAUGAAUCUCUCGAAGUAUUUGACAGGUUAACAUGCUGCGGCAGCCGAUCCGGUCGGCGUCGUUCACAGACCAAACAGCAUUGGCCAGGUGAAGAACUUGGUUUUGAUAUGGCCGAGUCCUACUCCGUGACGGAGUGUGGUUCCGAAGGCAUCCUUUCGCGGUGUCAGCCCGGUGGGAUGUCCCUCCGACUGUUAUAAGGUCGAUGGGACAUCGCGGGCUUUCACCGCGUUUGGGGUCCUUGGAAACCACUCAGUAUUGACGCUAGUAGCUGGUUCCUGCCGAAGUUUCCCUCAGGAUAGCAGUAACGUUUUCAGUUUUAUGAGGUAAAGCGAAUGAUUAGAGUCCUUGGGGAUGAAACAUCCUUAAACUAUUCUCAAACUUUAAAUAUGUAAGAAGUCCUUGUUACU